rnacentral:rRNA from 1 species
UACGUAGGGUGCAAGCGUUGUCCGGAUUUAUUGGGCGUAAAGAGCUCGUAGGCGGUUCGACAAGUCGGGUGUGAAAACUCCGGGCUCAACCCGGAGACGCCACCCGAUACUGUCGUGACUGGAGUCCGGUAGGGGAGUGGGGAAUUCCUGGUGUAGCGGUGAAGUGCGCAGAUAUCAGGAGGAACACCGGUGGCGAAGGCGGGUCUCUGGGCCGAAAUUGACGCUGAGGAGCGAAAGCGUGGGGAGCAAACAGG